AUGGGGUUAGUGUCCUUUACAAGAGACACAAGAAAACUUGCUUUUCCCCUUUGUUCUCUGUCAUGUGAGGAUACAAAGAAAAGUCAGCAAUCUACAACCCUGAAGAGAGUUCUCACCAGAAUUGGACCAUGUUGUCACCCUCCCUUGAGAUUUUCAGUCUCUAGAUAUGUGAGGAACAAUGUCUGUUGUCUUUAUCUGUGGACAACUGGGUUUAGAGGCAGAUGAUUCUCCUUCUGACAUGGCCUAAUACUAUGUCACAAUGCCUACAUCAUUCACCUCACUUCAUCUCAUCAUGUAGGCAUUUUAUCAUCUUAUAUCAUCCAUCACAAGAGGAAGAAGAAUGGUGUGAGCAUUAUUCCUUUAACAGUGGAUACCGUUUGUUGAAAAGACGUUCUUGUUCCAUUUAUCUGUCUGGAUACCUCUAUACAAAUUUAACUGACUGGAAUAUGAAUUCUCAAGCAAAGACAGAAGAGAAACCUUCAAUCUUCUCCUUCUGAGCCAAGCUUAUGCUCAGGACGACAAGCAAUGAAUUGUUGCUCCAGGAAAUGUUCGAUGGCUCCCAGUUCUGAACUUUUAUUUGUAAACUGAAAGGCCUAGAAAUCUCUAGGCCACUCUAGGCCUAGAAAUCUCCUAGUAAGAUUUAAUGACUGCUUAAACAGCCUUAAAACUUGGUAACAGUGGGCAGUUUGGAGUAGAGGUAGGAAAGAAAAAAAAUACAAAAGUGCUUGAAUUUUUGCCCAUCCCUAUACCCAACUGUUUUUGCGUUUCUAUCCUGUUGCUCACUGGCCAAGAACCCCAAUUCCUGAACUUUUUAAGCUUAGCCUGGAGCUGAGAAGUCUUUCCUUCAGCAGUGGAGAUGUCAGAUCCCAACACAAAGGUAUAAGACAAUUCACCAGACUGCAACGUGCCAUAUAGUUGAAUGCUCUCCACCUUGACUACACAAGGAAGGUGUACACAGUAAGUUCCUCAGGGACCUGGGGUCUGCAGAUUGUAUUAAAAAUCAUGUGGAACUUGAAGUUCUCUGCCACUCACUAAAUAUGUGAUCAUGGAGAAGUUCAUUUAGUCUCUGUGCUUCAUCCAAAUGGUAUGAGUUUGCAUAGUUGAAAAUGACUAUUGCCUAUUCAUUUCUAUGUCCUGAAACAUAAAUCUGGAUGUAUUUUUGUGCAUAUAAGUGAACAUUCAUGUGUGUUCAGUUGCCCUGGAUGCUCUUUACUCUGGUUUUCUUUUUACAAAGUAAUCUUUUGAUUAUAUCAUCUAAGAUUCACUGCUUGUAAGGUCUCAAACUGACCCUUACACUACUAUUCAUGUUAACCUAAUCAUUCUUUCAUGGCAAUAAUUAACACAAGGGAUGGUUUGAUUAGUAGGACAUUACAAAUGUUUUUUCUUCUUAGAGAUUCUAAAUUGAGGAUAGAAAACAACAUCAAUAUUAUCAGGCAUAACCAUUUUCACUACUUUUUUUUUUUUAAAUAGCACAGAUCCAUAAUCUGGAAUAGGCAAGGAAAGUUGGUUGUGUGGACUAGGGAAUUUAUCCAGGUAUCUUAAACUGGGGAUACACCUUUGCCUCAAUUACCUGUAUGAUUAAAUGACAUGCAUUUUAACCUAAAUUUCUCAGAGAUUUACAUUUAUAAAGCAAUUAAUGCAUUAAUGUGGAAAUCAUUCCACUUUCUCUCUGACUCUUGAAUGAAUUAUUCCUUUAUUUAACAAAGCUUUAAGAGGGCUAUGACAUUAUUCUAUUCACUAGGGAUUCUGUGAUGAAGAAGAUAGAAAUAUUUUUGCCCUCAUGACCCAAAUUCUACUUGUCUGGAGAGUUAUCCUUGAUCCUCAAAUACAGGUACUGACUACAUAUUCAGAAUACUUCCAGCACUUUGCAUCUAUCUCUAUUAAUUAUUGAAAUGCACAAUCCAUGAAUCUCCAUGCUAAACAGACUUCUUAUUAUAUGAUAAGUACAUAAUACAUAUUUACAAUAGGAAGAAUCAAUGAGUGACUAAAUCAAAGCUCUUAAGAAUUCAGAUUUAUUGAGUCCCUAUUUAGGAUUUAUUCCAAAUGUUACAAAGCAAGAAAAUAUGUAAACAAAAUAUAAGGAUGUGCUACUACUUGGUUAGUGGGUGGAAACAUAGCAGUGAACAUUAGUACAAUCUCUGUCUUCACAGAACAAGCAGCUCAGCACGGAAAAGAGACAAAUCAGACAAUGGAAAUACAGCACUAUGAAACAUGGAGAAGGGCACUUUAGAAGGGCACUGAACUCAGAAUUUGGUAAUCCGGAAAGACUUCUUGGAGGAAACAUUAUCUAAGCUGAGAUCUGCAAGAUUAGUUAGUAGGAGUUAGCCAGAAAAGGAGGUGAGAGGAAGAGAAAAAAAACUGGAGCAGAAGCCUUCAGGUAAUCCUAUCCUGGCCAAAGAUUUCAAAAUAAUUCAAUAUAGCUGGAGGUAGUCAGUAGUAGUAGAAAGUAAUGAGGCCUUUUCAAGAGAGGGAGAGACACAUACAUAAUGGUAGCAGAGUAGAAACAGAAUGUAAAUACUGAACAAGCGCACUAGUAGGUCUAGUUCUGGAUGUAUUUAUAUCUGCUACCAUUUGUAGGAUUUCCUGUUACUUGCAAGGAGAUGAGAAAUUUGAAAUUCAUUAAAAAAUUGUAUUUAAACAUGGAAAAAUUAUUCAAUUAUAGACAUUAAAUAACUGAGUGAAAACUCCAUAUAUGUCUGUCUUGCUUAAAUGUAUUUUACUUAGAAUUUUGCAGAUGUAGUGCUCAUAAAUUGUUAGGAUCUAAGGAUUUGAUAGUACUUUGAUGAUCAUUUAAUACAACUGUAGCCCUAAUCUAGAAUAUGAUGAUAUAUUUUGAAACAAAUUAUGUAAUUCCUUGGGUAAAUUUAAAAUUUUUUAAAGAAUAAAAGUUUUUUUGGUUAUUGUU